AUAAAGAAUUUGAACUUUUUCUUGGAAAAACUAAGAAUGAAUUAAUGGUUAGACAAUAAUAUUAGUUAUGGCUCUUUAAUAGUAAGAUUAUUAAAUAUAGAAUUUGUUAAGAAUUCGUAAUUGUAAAAUAAUUACUAAUUAAGAGAGGGCUAAAAAAUAAACUUUUCUAUUAUAAGUUAACCCAGAAAUUUUAUUAAUUUGAGUAUAUCAUAUAAAUAAAUAAAUAAAAUGUUCCUGGCAAAUAUCCUUUUGUGCCGCCAUUAAAUCACAAUUGGACCGCAGCAUCCGCGACCACUUCGUGGAAAGAGCAACGAUCAUGACCGUUCAACAAUAUCUACAUAAGUGGACAAAACAGCUCUUCCCCGCACACAAAUAUAAUGAAAUAAGCAUUGUUUGAUACAUGAUUCAACUUUAACGUGUCAGGUUUUAAUAUUUAGUGUAGGGUUUUAAUAUUUAGAGCCCGUUUGAGAAUGUGAUUAAGAGAUUUAAAAGUAAUUUUGAAGAAAUAAAAAUUAAUUUUAGUGUUUGAUAAAUUUUUUUAGAAAUUACUUUUGCAAAAUCACCCUAUUUUACAUCAGAUUUUGAAAAAUAAAAAAUGAGUAAUUUUUUAAAUUUUAAUUUUGAUAAUUAAUUUUAUACAUAAUCCAAUUCUAAAUAUAUUCUCAUAUAUAUUAUAAAAUUUUAAAAUUAUCCUUAUUAAUUAAGAAAUAAAAUCGUUAAUUUUAAGGAGAUUAUUACUAUUACUAAUUUUAUUGAGAUAACAAAACAAAAAAAUAAUUUAAUGGACAUCCUUUCUAAAGGAAAGUCAAGUAUGCCAGAACUUGUAGCUUGUAGAUGUUAAUAGUCAAGAUUCCAUUAGUGUUAAGUGAACUCAGGUUCAUUAUCUCAAAUCAAGAUAUAAAAUAUUUAUUUUAGUUAUCAAUUCAAUUAUUUAUACUCUUGCAGUAGUUUAACAGCAAGAUUUAUCAUACACAUAUGACUGCUUUUAAAAUUCAAAUAAGUUUUACCAAAUGUUUAAUUUUUAUUUUGAGAAUAUCAAAUAUUUAAUUGA
rnacentral:lncRNA from 1 species